rnacentral:rRNA from 1 species
GAUGAACGCUGGCGGCGUGCCUAAUACAUGCAAGUCGAGCGAACAGACGAGGAGCUUGCUCCUCUGACGUUAGCGGCGGACGGGUGAGUAACACGUGGAUAACCUACCUAUAAGACUGGGAUAACUUCGGGAAACCGGAGCUAAUACCGGAUAAUAUAUUGAACCGCAUGGUUCAAUAGUGAAAGACGGUUUUGCUGUCACUUAUAGAUGGAUCCGCGCCGCAUUAGCUAGUUGGUAAGGUAACGGCUUACCAAGGCAACGAUGCGUAGCCGACCUGAGAGGGUGAUCGGCCCCACUGGACCUGGGCCACGGUCCAGCCUCCUACGGGAGGCAGCAGUAGGGAAUCUUCCGCAAUGGGCGAAAGCCUGACGGAGCAACGCCGCGUGAGUGAUGAAGGUCUUCGGAUCGUAAAACUCUGUUAUUAGGGAAGACAAAUGUGUAAGUAACUAUGCACGUCUUGACGGUACCUAAUCAGAAAGCCACGGCUAACUACGUG